CACCGGCUUCCCGACAGGCUCCUGCUUGCGCUGCCGCUGCAACCAGAAAUGGAAGGCACCGGUACUCGAGGCUAUCGACAAGCUUUCUGGAAUCUGCCUGCUUUGAUCUCACCUUAAAUCAAUCAAUCAUGCUGACAGCUUGUAUGAAAUCGUUCCCUGCCAGGUCAGAGCACCAUGCAAAGAUAUGAACAAGGAACAGAAGCAAGCUAUCCAGCAGCUGAAGCUUCCUCACUAAUAUAUAGGGGAGGACAGGGGAUCUGAAGACCGAAGGAGAUGAAUUUUCAAUGUAUGUUGCUGCUACUGGAGAAUUUUUACUCAAACGCAUAUACUAUAAGAUACAUAGAAAGAAAAUAUAUGUAUUAUUUCAAAAAAUGUGAAUUCUCCUCAGUUAUUUUACUUUGUUCAUGUUACGGGACAGCUAUGAAAUUCAACCUUGUUGCAUUCUGUUCUCAGGAGCAAAAUAAUUCAUUGACAAUUCUUCCAAUGUCAUCUGAUGAGGAGCUUCAGGAUCAAUCUUUCCAAAAAUUGGCUAAAUGUCACUUCUAUCAAGUCUAAUGGAGAGUUUCCCUCCUUGAGGCCUAGAGAGUUUUCUUGCGCUGUCAUCCCAAUUUGUUUCAUUAACUCGGUACCAUGUCCAUAUAAUAGUGUCCCUAUGGUGUGGGAGCAGGCCAUUAGGCCCAUCAGCUCCACACUGACCUUCCAAAGAUCAUCCAACCCAGACCCUGUAAUCCUGCAUGACCUGCCCACUUAGCUUACACAUCUCUGGGCAAUUUAGCAUGGCCAAUCUAUUUAACAUACUUAUCUUUGGACUGUGGGA